rnacentral:rRNA from 1 species
UACGGAGGGUGCAAGCGUUGUCCGGAUUUAUUGGGUUUAAAGGGUGCGUAGGCGGCUUUUUAAGUCAGCGGUGAAAGACAACAGCUUAACUGUUGCAGUGCCAUUGAUACUGAAGAGCUUGAGUACAGAUGAGGUAGGCGGAAUUUAUGGUGUAGCGGUGAAAUGCAUAGAUACCAUAAAGAACACCUAUUGCGAAGGCAGCUUACUAAGCUGUAACUGACGCUGAGGCACGAAAGUGUGGGGAUCAAACAGG